rnacentral:tRNA from 8 species
UGGGGUAUAGUGUAAUUGGCAACACGAGGGUUUCUGGUUCCCUUAUUCUAGGUUCGAGUCCUGGUACCCCAGC